UACAGAGGGUGCGAGCGUUGUUCGGAAUUAUUGGGCGUAAAGGGCGCGUAGGCGGCGCCACAAGUCACCUGUGAAAACUCUGGGCUCAACCCAGAGCCUGCAGGCGAAACUGUGGUGCUGGAGUAUGGGAGAGGUGCGUGGAAUUCCCGGUGUAGCGGUGAAAUGCGUAGAUAUCAGGAGGAACACCUGUGGCGAAAGCGGCGCACUGGACCACAACUGACGCUGAGGCGCGAAAGCUAGGGGAGCAAACAGG
rnacentral:rRNA from 1 species